AUUGAACGCUGGCGGCAGGCCUAACACAUGCAAGUCGAACGAGUGGCGGACGGGUGAGUAAUGUCUGAGAAACUGCCCGAUGGAGGGGGAUAACUACUGGAAACGGUAGCUAAUACCGCAUACCAUCGGAUGUGCCCAGAUGGGAUUAGCUAGUAGGUGGGGUAACGGCUCACCUAGGCGACGAUCCCUAGCUGGUCUGAGAGGAUGACCAGCCACACUGGAACUGAUACACGUGCCAGACUCCUCCGGGAGGCAGCAGUGGGGAAUAUUGCACAAUGGGCGCAAGCCUGAUGCAGCCAGGCCGCGUGUAUGAAGAAGGCCUUCGGGUUGUAAAGUACUUUCAGCGAGGAGGCGUUACUCUCAGAAGAAGCCCCGGCUAACUCCGUGCCAGCAGCCGCGGUAAUUC
rnacentral:rRNA from 1 species